rnacentral:piRNA from 1 species
GUAAUCUGGGCUACACCUUCUGCUGGAGACAA